GAUCAUGGCUCAGGAUGAACGCUAGCGGCAGGCCUAACACAUGCAAGUCGAACGGUAACAGGAAUUAGCUUGCUAAUUUGCUGACGAGUGGCGCACGGGUGCGUAACGCGUAUACAAUCUACCUUUUGCUGAGGGAUAGCCCAGAGAAAUUUGGAUUAAUACCUCAUGGUAUUAUUGAUAGGCAUCUAUUAAUAAUUAAAGGUUACGGCAAAAGAUGAGUAUGCGUCCCAUUAGCUAGUUGGCGAGGUAACGGCUCACCAAGGCAACGAUGGGUAGGGGUCCUGAGAGGGAGAUCCCCCACACUGGUACUGAGACACGGACCAGACUCCUACGGGAGGCAGCAGUGAGGAAUAUUGGACAAUGGGCGAGAGCCUGAUCCAGCCAUGCCGCGUGCAGGAAGACUGCCCUAUGGGUUGUAAACUGCUUUUAUACAGGAAGAAUAAGCCUUACGUGUAAGGUGAUGACGGUACUGUAAGAAUAAGGACCGGCUAACUCCGUGCCAGCAGCCGCGGUAAUACGGAGGGUCCGAGCGUUAUCCGGAAUUAUUGGGUUUAAAGGGUCCGUAGGCGGAUGAUUAAGUCAGGGGUGAAAGUUUGCAGCUCAACUGUAAAAUUGCCUUUGAUACUGGUUAUCUUGAGUUGUAUUGAAGUAGGCGGAAUAUGUAGUGUAGCGGUGAAAUGCAUAGAUAUUACAUAGAACACCAAUUGCGAAGGCAGCUUACUAAGUACUAACUGACGCUGAUGGACGAAAGCGUGGGUAGCGAACAGGAUUAGAUACCCUGGUAGUCCACGCCGUAAACGAUGGAUACUAGCUGUUCGGGGCCUUGAGUUCUGAGCGGCUAAGCGAAAGUGAUAAGUAUCC
rnacentral:rRNA from 1 species